UACAGAGGGUGCGAGCGUUAAUCGGAUUUAUUGGGCGUAAAGAGCGUGUAGGCGGCCAGACAGGUCAGCUGUGAAAACUCGAGGCUCAACCUCGAGACGUCGGUUGAAACCGUCUGGCUAGAGUCCGGAAGAGGAGAGUGGAAUUCCCGGUGUAGCGGUGAAAUGCGCAGAUAUCGGGAAGAACACCCGUGGCGAAGGCGGCUCUCUGGGAAGGUACUGACGCUGAGACGCGAAAGCGUGGGGAGCGAACAGG
rnacentral:rRNA from 1 species